rnacentral:rRNA from 1 species
GUGAACGCUGGCGGUAGGCCUAACACAUGCAAGUCGAACGGCAGCACAGUAAGAGCUUGCUCUUACGGGUGGCGAGUGGCGGACGGGUGAGGAAUACAUCGGAAUCUACUUUUUCGUGGGGGAUAACGUAGGGAAACUUACGCUAAUACCGCAUACGACCUACGGGUGAAAGCAGGGGAUCUUCGGACCUUGCGCGAUUGAAUGAGCCGAUGUCGGAUUAGCUAGUUGGCAGGGUAAAGGCCCACCAAGGCGACGAUCCGUAGCUGGUCUGAGAGGAUGAUCAGCCACACUGGAACUGAGACACGGUCCAGACUCCUACGGGAGGCAGCAGUGGGGAAUAUUGGACAAUGGGCGCAAGCCUGAUCCAGCCAUAUCGCGUGGGUGAAGAAGGCCUUCGGGUUGUAAAGCCCUUUUGUUGGGAAAGAAAAGCAGCAGGUUAAUACCCCGCUGUUCUGACGGUACCCAAAGAAUAAGCACCGGCUAACUUCGUG